UAAGUGUAGCAUAAAUAAUGCAUCUCACUUACACUGAGAAAAUGCUCAUAUUUUGAGUCACUUAUA
rnacentral:tRNA from 1 species